rnacentral:lncRNA from 10 species
CCAAAACAGCAGUUUCCUGGCAGCUAAGAAAGGCAGUCAUAGGGUUCCAACUCAAAAUUUACUAAAAUCCUUCUUUGUCCUACAAUCGCUUCUGGAAGGCACCAAGCCCCACCACGCCUCCGCACCUGUUCCCUAGCAAAGCUGUGGCACCACACGGGCUGCGGGCACCGGUCCUGGAGCCCCAGGCUAUGUGGGCCCCGGGCGGGUGGGGGCGGGGGGGUGCCACAGAGGUGCUGGGGAGCCAAGAGACAGGAGCUCAACAACCAGCACACGCGGCAUGCACGCUGCUUCACCACGGCCUCCAGCCCGGACGGCUCAGACACACACCCACAAAGGACCACGUCAGUAAGCCAGGGAACACCCAGAAAGCCAGAUCCCACCCCAAAAGUAAAACAGUCCAGGCAUAGUGGCUCACGCCUGUCAUCCCAGCAUUCUGGGAGGCUGAGGUGGGCAGACUGCUUGAGCCCAGGAGUUUGAGACCAGCCUGGGCAACAUAGCGAGGCUCCACGUCUACAAAACAUUUUUUAAAAAUUGGCUACGCUUGGUGGUGCACACCUGUGGUCCCAGCUACUCAGGAGGUAGAGGUGGGAGGAUUGCUUGAGCCUGGGAGGUCGAGGCUGCAGUGAGCCAUGACUGUACCACUGCACUCCAGCCUGGGCAAAAGAAUGAGACCUUGUGUUUAAAAAAAAAAAAAAAAAAAAAAAAGAGUAAAGCAGGAUAGGUUACAGAAGAGCAGCAGUUUAAAAAGCAUGAUCAUCAUGGAAAGGGCCUGGCAGCAUUGAGCCCACCUAGGGCCCAGGUGUGGUCUAAAUACCCCUCGCUGUGAAAAAGAGUCAGGGGAGGUCAAGACAGGCCUGGGAUGCCAGGUGAGGCCAGAAACCAAGGAGACAGUCAAAGAGCAAAGGCCCUGUCCAAAAGGCAGAGCCUGCACAAGGGUUCCCCCCAUCCCACUCGGGGCUAUCACUGGUAACAGCACAUUGGAAGAAUAUUCCUAUUGUGGAAUCAGAAAACCCCAAGCCCCUUAUUCUUUAAUUGAGCCUUAUCUUUAAAAAGCAUCAGAAGCCAGAGGCUACAGAUUUCAAUUAGCUAUGUAAUAAGAAAUCUUGGAAGAAUGAGAUACUGUUGACACAGGGGCUCUGGAAAGACAAGAGACCAUGCCAGCCAAUUACCUUGUGAGAGAAAUAAGAAAAGUUCAGCAAAUAUUUACACACCCAUUACUAUAAAAGUUAAGUAAAAUCUAUAUUCAUUCUGUAAGUUAUCAUUUAAAAACUUAAUCACUAUGUCUAUUUGCUAAUAAGGGAUAAAAGACUUUUCCAUAUUAUGGAAAGGUUCCUUUUAAUAGUUCUAAGGGAAAGUGACUCAAGCUUUGAGAUAAUGAAUGUUUGUUAUGGAAAAUGACGUUUACUUUCAUUUACUGUCAACUGAUUUUCAACAAGAGUGCCAUGACAAUUCAGUGGGAAAGACAAAUGGUGCCAGGACAACUGGCUACCAACAUAUAAAAGAAUGGAUUUGGAGCCCUACCUCACACCAUACACAAAACUAACUCAAAAUAGAUCAAAGUCCUAAAUGGAAGAGCUAAAAGUGUAAAAUUAUUAGAAGAAAACACAGGAUUAAAUCUUCAUGACCUUGGAUUAGGCAAUGGCCUCUUACAUAUGGCACCAAAAACACGUGGCAAAAGAAAAAGAGAUAAUAAAUUGGACUACAACAAAAUUUAAAAUUUUUGUGCUGCAAAGGAUGCCAGCAAGAAAGUAAAGAGGCUGAGUGCAGUGGCUAAUGCCUGUAAUCCCAGCACUUUGGGAGGCCAAGGCAGGAGGAUCACUUGAGGCCAGGAGUUCCAGACCAGUCCCGGCCACACAGCAAGACCACAUCUCUACAAAAAACAAAGCAAAAAGAAAACCCAGGCUAGGCACUGUGGCUCACGCCUCUAAUCCCAGCACUUUGGGAGGAUGAGAUGGGAGGACUGCUUGAGCCCAG